rnacentral:rRNA from 1 species
GACGAACGCUGGCGGCGUGCCUAAUACAUGCAAGUCGAGCGAAAAUUUGAGAGCUUGCUCUCAAAUUUUAGCGGCGGACGGGUGAGUAACACGUGGGCAACCUACCUUGUAGAUUGGGAUAACUCCGGGAAACCGGGGCUAAUACCGAAUAAUCCAUUUUGCUUCAUGGCGAGAUGUUGAAAGACGGUUUCGGCUGUCACUACAAGAUGGGCCCGCGGCGCAUUAGCUAGUUGGUAGGGUAAUGGCCUACCAAGGCGACGAUGCGUAGCCGACCUGAGAGGGUGAUCGGCCACACUGGGACUGAGACACGGCCCAGACUCCUACGGGAGGCAGCAGUAGGGAAUCUUCCACAAUGGACGAAAGUCUGAUGGAGCAACGCCGCGUGAGUGAAGAAGGUUUUCGGAUCAUAAAACUCUGUUGUAAGGGAAGAACACGUACGAGAGUAACUGCUCGUACCUUGACGGUACCUUAUUAGAAAGCCACGGCUAACUACGUG